rnacentral:rRNA from 1 species
UACCAGCCCCCUGAGAGAUAGGGACGAUUAUUUAGCCUAAAGCGUCCGUAGCCGGCUUAGAAAGUCUUUCGUUAAAUCUGACGACUUAAUCGUUAGGCCGCGGAAGAUACUUCUAGACUAGAGGGCGGGAGAGGUUGACGGUAUUCCAGGGGUAGGGCGAAAUCCAAUAAUCCCUGGAGGACCACCAGUGGCGAAGGCGGUCAACUAGAACGCGCCUGACGGUGAGGGACGAAAGCUGGGGGAGCGAACCGGAUUAGACACCCGGGUAGUCCCAGCUGUAAACGAUGCGAGCUAGGUGUUGGGUCAGCUACGAGCUGCCCCGGUGCCGCAGAGAAGUCGUUAAGCUCGCCGCUUGGGAAGUACGAUCGCAAGAUUGAAACUUAAAGGAAUUGGCGGGGGAGCACCACAAGGCGUGAAGCUUGCGGUUC